ACGCUGGCGGCAUGCCUAACACAUGCAAGUCGAACGAGACCUUCGGGUCUAGUGGCGCACGGGUGCGUAACGCGUGGGAACCUGCCUUUAGGUUCGGAAUAACUCAGAGAAAUUUGAGCUAAUACCGGAUGAUGUCUUCGGACCAAAGAUUUAUCGCCUUUAGAUGGGCCCGCGUAAGAUUAGCUAGUUGGUGGGUAAAGGCCUACCAAGGCGACGAUCUUUAGCUGGUCUGAGAGGAUGAUCAGCCACACUGGGACUGAGACACGGCCCAGACUCCUACGGGAGGCAGCAGUGGGGAAUAUUGGACAAUGGGCGAAAGCCUGAUCCAGCAAUGCCGCGUGAGUGAUGAAGGCCUUAGGGUUGUAAAGCUCUUUUACCCGAGAUGAUAAUGACAGUAUCGGGAGAAUAAGCUCCGGCUAACUCCGUG
rnacentral:rRNA from 1 species